rnacentral:misc_RNA from 1 species
GCUAAGAAACUCGCCUGUUCAUAAUGUCAAAAACAAGAACAAAAUAAGUGAAAUUAUAACUAAACAUCAAAUAUUAAAUGGGUUUCUAACAAAAGUUAAAGAAUAGAAAAGAACAGAAAAAAACUCUAAUAAUGCUUGAUGAAUACUUUUGCUCUAACCUCCAAAUAUUUCAAAAAAACCUCCUCCAAAUACUUCAAGAAAACCUCUUCUAAAUUCUUGCUCCAACUCAAAAAUUGUGUUUUCU